GUGCUUGCUUUGGUAGCACAUACAGUAAAAUUAGAAUGAAAAGACUAGAGAAUACUAGCAUGCUCCCUGUAGAAUGAUAACACACAACUUUGUGAACAUUCCUAAUUUUAU
rnacentral:snRNA from 1 species